CUGUUCCUUUAAGCAACACAUGCACUAAAGUUGGAACAACACCGGGAAGAUCAGUGUGUCCCCUGCACAAGGAUGGCAUGCAAAUUAAUGGAUGGUUCUGUAGAUCC
ensembl:snRNA Gm22021 U6 spliceosomal RNA